UACGGGGGGGGCAAGCGUUGUUCGGAAUUACUGGGCGUAAAGGGCUCGUAGGCGGCCAACUAAGUCAAACGUGAAAUCCCUCGGCUUAACCGGGGAACUGCGUCUGAUACUGGAUGGCUUGAGUUUGGGAGAGGGAUGCGGAAUUCCAGGUGUAGCGGUGAAAUGCGUAGAUAUCUGGAGGAAUACCGGUGGCGAAGGCGGCAUCCUGGACCGGCAUUGACGCUGAUGAGCGAAAGCUAGGGGAGCAAACGGGGAUUGAAGAAACCCGGAAGUAACGUCC
rnacentral:rRNA from 1 species